UAUGGCUUAACCAUAGAACUGCUUGGGAAACUGAUAAUCUAGAGUGAGGGAGAGGCAGAUGGAAUUGGUGGUGUAGGGGUAAAAUCCGUAGAGAUCACCAGGAAUACCCAUUGCGAAGGCGAUCUGCUGGAACUCAACUGACGCUAAUGCGUGAAAGCGUGGGGAGCAAACAGGAUUAGAUACCCUGGUAGUCCACGCCCUAAACGAUGUAUACUAGUUGUUGCUAAGCUAGUCUUGGCAGUAAUGCACCUAACGGAUUAAGUAUACCGCCUGGGGAGUACGGUCGCAAGAUUAAAACUCAAAGGAAUAGACGGGGACCCGCACAAGCGGUGGAGCAUGUGGUUUAAUUCGAGGAUACGCGAAGAACCUUACCCGGACUUGAUAUCUAACAAAUCAUCUAGAGAUAGAAGAGUGUCUGCUUGCAGAAAUGUUAAGACAGGUGCUGCACGGCUGUCGUCAGCUCGUGUCGUGAGAUGUUGGGUUAAGUCCCGCAACGAGCGCAACCCACGUCAUUAGUUG
rnacentral:rRNA from 1 species